rnacentral:RNase_P_RNA from 1 species
AGUUGGCCUGACAAUCGCGGUGUAAUAUUUUACAUCGAGGAAAGUCCGGGCUCCACAGGAUACAGUGCCAGAUAACGUCUGGGAAGCGUGAGCUUACGGCUAGUGCAGCAGAGAGAAGACCGCCAUCCCUUAAUCGGGUUGGUAAGGGUGAAAGGGUGUGGUAAGAGCACACCGCAUGACUGGUAACAGUUCAUGGCAAGGUAAACCCCACUGGGAGCAAGACCAAAUAGGAAAACAGACUUCGGUCAUGCGUGUUCCGCGCAGUUUUCGGGUAGGUUGCUUGAGGCAUGCAGCGAUGUAUUGUCCAGAUGAAUGAUUGUCUUAAAAACAGGACCCGGCUUACUGGCUAACUUCU